ensembl:lncRNA
AAACCAGAACUAAACCAGGACCAAACCAGGUCUAAACCAGAACUAAAGCAGGACUAAACCAGGACCAAACCAGGUCUAAACCAGGUCCAAACCAGGUCUAAACCAGGACUAAACCAGGACUAAACCAGGUCUAAACCAGGUCCAAACCAGGUCUAAACCAGGUCUAAACCAGGUCUAAACCAGGUCUAAACCAGGUCCAAACCAGGUCUAAACCAGGACUAAACCAGGACUAAACCAGGUCUAAACCAGGUCUAAACCAGGUCCAAACCAGGUCCAAACCAGGUCCAAACCAGGACUAAACCAGGUCUAAACCAGGUCUAAACCAGGUCUAAACCAGGUCUAAACCAGGACUAAACCAGGUCCAAACCAGGUCCAAACCAGGUCUAAACCAGGUCCAAACCAGGUCUAAACCAGGACUAAACCAGGACUAAACCAGAACUAAACCAGGUCUAAACCAGGUCUAAACCAGGUCCAAACCAGGUCUAAACCAGGACUAAACCAGGUCUAAACCAGGUCUAAACCAGGUCUAAACCAGGUCUAAACCAGGUCUAAACCAGGACUAAACCAGGACUAAACCAGGACUAAA